AACGCACGAGACCUGCGGACCUGCGGAGGGAUCAUUAACGCGCCGUGGAGGUUGCCUUUAAACAGGUCUGACCUUCCACCUGGCCACCCUUGUUUAUCUUUAACCUGUUGCUUUGGUGGGCCCGUUGCAAGGCCGCUGGAGAAUUUAAAAGUUUUCUGGCCCGUGCCCACCAAGUCCUAGUGAACUCUUUGUUAAUUUUCUGCUGUCUGAGCAUUAAAAGAAACAAUUUUUAAAACUUUU
rnacentral:misc_RNA from 1 species